rnacentral:rRNA from 1 species
AUACGGAGGACGCGAGCGUUAUCCGGAUUCAUUGGGUUUAAAGGGUGCGCAGGCGGCCGUGCAAGUCAGCGGUGAAAGCCCGGGGCUCAACCCCGGAAGUGCCGUUGAUACUGCAUGGCUGGAAUGCGGUCGAGGCGGGCGGAACGUGGCGUGUAGCGGGGAAAUGCGUAGAUAUGCCACAGAAAGCCGAUAGCGGAGGCAGCUGGCCAGGCCUGCAUUGACGCUCGGGCACGAAAGCGUGGGGAUCGAACAGGAUUAGAUACCCUGGUAGUCCACGCCGUAAACGAUGGGCGCUCGUCGUCGGCGGCAGACAGUCGGCGGCCAAGCGAAAGCGAUAAGCGCCCCACCUGGGGAGUACGGUCGCAAGGCUGAAACUCAAAUGAAUUGACGGGG